rnacentral:rRNA from 1 species
ACGACUACAGAGAGUUUGAUCCUGGCUCAGGACGAACGCUGGCGGCGUGCUCAACACAUGCAAGUCGAACGGUGAAGCCCUUCGGGGUGGAUCAGUGGCGAACGGGCGAGUAACACGUGGGCAAUCUGCCUUGCACUCUGGGACAAGCCCUGGAAACGGGGUCUAAUACCGGAUAUGACCAACUUCCGCAUGGGGGUUGGUGUAAAGCUCCGGCGGUGCAGGAUGAGCCCGCGGCCUAUCAGCUUGUUGGUGGGGUAAUGGCCUACCAAGGCGACGACGGGUAGCCGGCCUGAGAGGGCGACCGGCCACACUGGGACUGAGACACGGCCCAGACUCCUACGGGAGGCAGCAGUGGGGAAUAUUGCACAAUGGGCGAAAAGCCUGACGCAGCGACGCCGCGUGAGGGAUGACGGCC